AUACGGAGGGAGCAAGCGUUAUUCGGAAUCACUGGGCGUCAAGGACGCGUAGGCGGGUUUGUAAGUCAGGUGUGAAAUCCUACAGCUCAACUGUAGAACUGCACUUGAAACUACAGACCUAGAGUAUGGAAGGGGCAGAUGGAAUUAGUGGUGUAGGGGUAAAAUCCGUAGAUAUCACUAGGAAUACCGAAAGCGAAGGCGAUCUGCUGGGACAUUACUGACGCUGAGGCGUGAAAGCGUGGGGAGCAAACAGGAUUAGAAACCCCGGUAGUCC
rnacentral:rRNA from 1 species